UGGGGAAUAUUGGACAAUGGGCGCAAGCCUGAUCCAGCCAUGCCGCGUGAGUGAUGAAGGCCCUAGGGUUGUAAAGCUCUUUUGUACGGGAAGAUAAUGACGGUACCGUAAGAAUAAGCCCCGGCUAACUUCGUGCCAGCAGCCGCGGUAAUACGAAGGGGGCUAGCGUUGCUCGGAAUCACUGGGCGUAAAGGGUGCGUAGGCGGGUUAUUAAGUCAGAGGUGAAAUCCUGGAGCUCAACUCCAGAACUGCCUUUGAUACUGAUAGUCUUGAGUAUGGGAGAGGUGAGUGGAACUGCGAGUGUAGAGGUGAAAUUCGUAGAUAUUCGCAAGAACACCAGUGGCGAAGGCGGCUCACUGGCCCAUAACUGACGCUGAGGCACGAAAGCGUGGGGAGCAAACAG
rnacentral:rRNA from 1 species